ACGACGCUGGCGGCGUGGAUUAGGCAUGCAAGUCGAACGGUAUCAUCCUUUCGGGGAUGAGAGAGUGGCGAACGGGUGAGUAACACGUAGGUGAUCUACCCUCAAGACGGGGACAACCCAGGGAAACUUGGGCUAAUACCGGAUGUGAGCUAUCGCGAGAUAGUUUGAAAGGUGGCUUCGGCUGCCGCUUGAGGAUGAGCCUGCGUCCUAUUAGCUAGUUGGUGAGGUAACGGCUCACCGAGGCGAUGAUAGGUAGGCGGCCUUAACGGGUGGUCGCCCACACUGGGAUUGAGAUACGGCCCAGACUCCUACGGGAGGCAGCAGUCGAGAAUAGUCUACAAUGGUCGAAAGACUGAUAGUGCGACGCCGCGUGAACGAAGAAGCCCUUCGGGGUGUAAAGUUCUUUUAUAUGUGAGCAGUGACAUCUAUAUUAAUAGUAUGGGUGUAGAGAUAUUAGCAUAUGAAUAAGCAACGGCUAACUCCGUG
rnacentral:rRNA from 1 species